rnacentral:rRNA from 1 species
AACGAAGCUCAGGGAGCUAGUUUUUAUAGGGGAUUUGACAGGAAUAUAUGUAGCAUAAUAUUUAAUUAAUAAAAACUAGGAGUGAAAGGCUAAUCAAAUUGAGUGAUAACUUGUUUCUUUUGAAAUAUAUUAAGUAUAAAGACAAACUUGGAGUUAUAAGGUUCUAAGUAAAAACAAAUGAAUAUUAUUAAUUUAUGUAUAGUUUAAUAACAAACAUAAUUCAAAAAUUAAUACUUAAUUAUGUAGGAUGUUGAUAUUAGAAAGAAAUAAAGUUAAUUUAAUAUAUUAUUUAUUCUGUUAAUAUAAGUAUUAUAUAAGAUAAAGAUAAUGAACUUGGCAAACUAUACUUUCAACUGUUUAUCAAAAACAUAGCUUGCUGUUUAUAUAGUAGGUAAUUUCUGCUCAGUGAUAUUUAAACAGCCGCAGUACCCUGACUGUGCAAAGGUAGCGCAAUCAAUUGGCUUUUAAUUGGAGUCCUGUAUGAAGAAUAUAUGGGGGUUAACUGUAUCAUUUUUAUUUAUUAGAAAUUACUUAGUAGGUGAAAAUACCUAUUUUAAAAUAAUAGACGAGAAGACCCUAGAAAUUUUAAGAAUGUGUUGAGAGAACUUUUUGUUGGGGCAACAGAGUAUUAACAUACAGGAUUAACAUGAAAUUGUUUAGAACGAAGAAAUUACUCUAGGGAUAACAGCAUAAUAUUAAAAAGUUUGUGACCUCGAUGUUGGACUAGGAAAUUAGUGUUUAGAA